UCAACCAACAACUUGCCAUCCUGAGACAAGGCCGGGUAUAGCCCACAAAGAUAUACGCCAUUGCACAACCCAAGGGGGGGUGCCAACCCAGACAGGAAGAUCACAUCAGUGACUCAACACACUCAAGUGACGCACCCCUCCUAGGGACGGCAUGAAAGAGCACCAAGAAACGCCGAGUGGCUGCCUCUCAUGAGUUAAACACUAAUUGAAGGCAUCAGGAGCAGCAGUAGCAGUUUGGACGUGGGCUCUGAGAGGGCUGCAGUCUGAAUAGCACGCGUCCUUGGGCUGAGAAUGCCACAAAGGAGAGAGCUAACAGCUGUGUGUAUAGGGUCAACUCUACCUACUACCAGGGACAAAUCACAACUCAACAAUGGAUUGACGGAUGAGAAAAAGAAGAGGUGUAAUUCUAUGGGAUGAUGAUGAUGACAGAACUAUAGGAGUUUGUAUUUUACAUUUUGUAGUCUAACAUUGAGGUUCCGAGUUGCAAGUACGAUUUGCAAAUGUGUAAUUUAAUUUUGGAAGCUUGAUUCAUGAUGUGUGAAAGAUUUAACAGUCGCAAACUUGUAACUUGACAUUUGCAUACAUUCAAUUAGUAUAAUUUAUUUUCAGAAUCUU